ACUGAACGCUGGCGGCAUGCUUUACACAUGCAAGUCGAACGGUAACAGGCCGCAAGGUGCUGACGGGUGGCGAACGGGUGAGUAAUGCAUCGGAACGUGCCCAGUCGUGGGGGAUAACGCAGCGAAAGCUGUGCUAAUACCGCAUACGAUCUAUGGAUGAAAGCGGGGGACCGUAAGGCCUCGCGCGAUUGGAGCGGCCGAUGUCAGAUUAGGUAGUUGGUGGGGUAAAGGCCCACCAAGCCAACGAUCUGUAGCUGGUCUGAGAGGACGACCAGCCACACUGGGACUGAGACACGGCCCAGACUCCUACGGGGGGCAGCAGUGGGGAAUUUUGGACAAUGGGCGCAAGCCUGAUCCAGCAAUGCCGCGUGCAGGAAGAAGGCCUUCAGGUUGUAAACUGCUUUUGUACGGAACGAAACGGUCUGGGUUAAUACCUCGGGCUAAUGACGGUACCGUAAGAAUAAGCACCGGCUAACUACGUGCCAGCCGCCGCCGUAAUAC
rnacentral:rRNA from 1 species